rnacentral:rRNA from 1 species
AUUGAACGCUGGCGGCAGGCCUAACACAUGCAAGUCGAACGAGUGGCGGACGGGUGAGUAAUGUCUGGGAAACUGCCCGAUGGAGGGGGAUAACUACUGGAAACGGUAGCUAAUACCGCAUACCCUUGGCUGUGCCCAGAUGGGAAGAGCUAGUAGGUGGGGUAACGGCUCACCCAGGCGACGAUCCCUAGCUGGGCUGAGAGGAUGAACAGCCACACUGGAACUGAGACACGGUCCAGACUCCUACGGGAGGCAGCAGUGGGGAAUAUUGCACAAUGGGCGCAAGCCUGAUGCAGCCAUGCCGCGUGUAUGAAGAAGGCCUUCGGGUUGUAAAGUACUUUCAGCGAGGAGGCGUUACUCGCAGAAGAAGCACCGGCUAACUCCGUGCCAGCAGCCGCGGUAAUUC